rnacentral:rRNA from 1 species
UACGAAGGGUGCAAGCGUUAAUCGGAAUUACUGGGCGUAAAGGGCGCGUAGGCGGCGUGGUAAGUCACUUGUGAAAUCUCUGAGCUUAACUCAGAACGGUCAAGUGAUACUGCUGUGCUAGAGUGCGGAAGGGGCAAUCGGAAUUCUUGGUGUAGCGGUGAAAUGCGUAGAUAUCAAGAGGAACACCUGAGGUGAAGACGGGUUGCUGGGCCGACACUGACGCUGAUGCGCGAAAGCCAGGGAGCAAACGGG